UUUCUUCCACCUUUUUACACUCACCAAAUCUUCUCCCAAAUCAAAAACUCUAAAACUUCAUCCCACUUAGAAAACGUAAACACCAGUGCAUGUGACCAAGUUCCGCAACCAUGACCUCCUUUGCCUCCCUCUCUGCUGUCUCUCCACAGUGAGACGAGUUUGUCUUUCCACUCUUCACCUCCACUCUCUUUCUUUGUCCAACCGAUGGUGAAUCCGGGAACGGUUGUUUCAGGUCUGCACGCGGCCGCGAUAGAUUCGAACAGAUUCGAACGCUCCGCCAUGGAGGAAGCCCUUGAAAUCCCACGCGCCAAGUACGCAAAGGAGAGAGGAUGGUUGGUGUGGAGCGCCUCCCCAAGGUUCUCGAAGUUUCUAGGAGGAGCUUCAGUUCUGCCUAAGUCACUUUGCUCGUCAAAUGAUGCCUCAAUCUCUUGAAGGAUAGCAGCUUCAAGGUCUCGCAGGGCACGCUUCAGGCGUUCGAGCUGGCGACCACUUCAAGCUCCAAUUCAAUGUGUUCGCUGCCGUUGUCGUUGAAAGGUUAGGCAAAGGUUAGGCAACGCUAAACAGCCCAUCCGUGACGCCGCUAGACGCCUCUUGCUCACUCUCAUAGAGAAAACAUGAUCUGAUCAAGGACGCCUAUGGGAAAACUGCAAUUCUAAGGAAACUACUUGCCCAGAUAUGUAUGCCUUUCGAUCUAUCCAAAAGAUAUGCUUCUGAAGGAAUUGAAGCCGCCUGCAAAUGAGCAUAUAAAGAUGCUCCUGAAGGUUCAGUGCUAGAAGGUGAAGGAUUGACAUAAUGGGAAGAUAGACAGCAUGGAGGGAUCACAUAAGUUGAUUGGGUGGACUCCAUUGGUUUAUCUUAACAAAUUCACUGAGAUGUGGAGCAUAUGUUGUUUUCAAGAAAGAGAUGAUGCAACCUACUGCCAGCAUCAAAGACAGGUAAAUUCCUUUUCAUAUAUUUAUCUUGUUUUUUCGAGUUUGCAUAUUGUCAUAAAUUUCUGUUGUAUGGAGAAUCUCAGCUUUGCAGGUUCAGAAAUGGAUGAUGAAUCCAUUGUUCAUCUUGUUUAUCAUGCUUACAAUCUCACAAAAUUUCAUAUGUAUAUCAUCAAUCAAAGAUUAGAAGCAAUGGAAGCAGGGGAGUCUACUAACAAUGACUUGUUGAGCAUAUACAUAUUGUUGGUAUCAAAUUAUAGGGAGUUUUGAAAAAGGUAGUGGUGGAGGAAUGAGUUUAAGGGAAGUAGUUGAUGAAGUGAAACUCUUUUACUUUGCACGACAGGAAGAAAAUGCAGAGCUAUUGGUCUCAUGUUAAGCUUUUAUCUGUGUUAGGGAUUUUGUUUAGGUCAUCAACAUUAGUUUAUAUGUUUUUAAUUGAUGUAGUAGUUUUUGACUGUUAGUUUUUUCUUUG